UACGGAGGAUCCGAGCGUUAUCCGGAUUUAUUGGGUUUAAAGGGUGCGUAGGCGGUUUGAUAAGUUAGAGGUGAAAUGUCGGGGCUCAACCCCGAAACUGCCUCUAAUACUGUUGGACUAGAGAAUAGUUGCGGUAGGCGGAAUGUAUGGUGUAGCGGUGAAAUGCUUAGAGAUCAUACAGAACACCGAUUGCGAAGGCAGCUUACCAAACUAUGUCUGACGUUGAGGCACGAAAGCGUGGGUAUCGAACAGG
rnacentral:rRNA from 1 species